ACGGCAGCGGAAACGUUUUAGUUUAUGAGGAAAGUCCGGGCAUCGCAGAGCAGGAUAACUGAUAACGUCAGCCGGAGGUGACUCCAGGGCCAGUGCAACAGAAAUAUACCGCCCGUUUUACGGGUAAGGGUGGAAAGGCGAGGUAAGAGCUCACCGGAAUGCAGGAGACUGUAUUGCCAUGUAAACCCUAUCCGAUGCAACGCCUAUUGGUACCUUUGUAUCAACAUUUGCUCGAUGGAUACAGAGGUAAUGGCGGCUUGAGCUUCAGGGCAAUCUGAAGCCUAGAUAAAUUGCCGUACACGACAGAACCCGGCUUAUCGGUCUGGU
rnacentral:RNase_P_RNA from 1 species